UACGUAGGUGGCAAGCGUUGUCCGGAUUUAUUGGGUUUAAAGGGUGCGUAGGCGGCCCUGUAAGUCAGUGGAUGAAAUGCUCUAGCUUAACUAGAGAGGUGACCAAUGAUACUGGCAGGGCUUGAGUACAGAUGAGGUAGGCGGAAUUGACGGUGUAGCGGUGAAAUGCAUACGAUAUCGUCAAGAACACCGAUAGCGAAGGCAGCUUACUAGGGCUGUGAACUGACGGCUGAUGACCACGAAAGUGUCGGGGAUCAAACAGG
rnacentral:rRNA from 1 species